rnacentral:tRNA from 1 species
UCCCAUGUGGUCUAGUGGUUAAGACUCUGCUUCCAGUGCAGGGGCACAGGUUCAAUUCCUGGUCUGGGAA